GCGUAGUAUGUUUGAUAGAGGAGACUAAUGUUUACUUGAAAAUUCGUCAUUUUCGUUAAUACGUUGCCUGUGGCUUCACUCGCGUUCGAUUCUUAUUUAAAUACACAUAUACUUAUUUAAAUCGCCAAUAUCCCUACUACCAUACUAAUGUUAUGAAUGCGAAAGUAAUCCUGUUUGUGUUGAGGUUACGCUUGCACGAAUGUUUUUUUUUUUGGAAUAUAACAACGAAACAAUGUAUUUUUUUAUUGAUAGGCAAUAUAUAGGAAAUUAAAGGAUAAUAAUAUAGAUAACCUUGGCUACUUUUCAUCAUGAUUAUAAAAUGAUGAAUCGGCGGUCGUGGUUUCUUUGGAAUACAUAUCUUUAAAAAUGCUAACAGUAACACAUUCUCAAGUAAUUCACAUUUGAGAUGACAUACGGCAGCAUUUUGACCACUAACACCACUACGCGGACGAAGUCGCGGGCAAAAGCUAGAUUCGAUAAAUUUUCAUUUGUACAUUCAAAUAUUUGUUGUUUCUAAAUUCAAAUUCUGUAAAUAAUGAUUGACAUUUAUGCAUAAACUAUGAAAAGGGUGAAUAAACAAUUGUCUGUAUUUUUUUUAAUCUAUUGAAAAUGUUGAAAAGUUUUUAUUUUGUGUAAAUUAAAGUUUCUAUUCACGUUUUCGAACAAACGAUGCUCUUUCAAUAUAGUCUAUUGGUGUAAAUGACAUUGACAUUGGUAUUGCGCGUUUUUUAAAAUAUGCAAAAUUAAAUGUAUAUUUUUCAAUAUUUCUGAGAGAUUAUCUUAAUAUUUCUUCGAGUUUUAAAGACUAAGAAGAUUUUUAUUUGCUAAUAAGUGUUUGUUAAUCAAGUUGGAAUUUUGUUUUUAACAAUGCUACCAACCAGACGUACAAGCUUAGGCCGCAGAACUCGAAAUACGGCAAGUCAAAGAAUAAUAUAAGAGCAAAUCAAACUGAUGAGCAACGCGAAGCGCGAAAUGAACUUGAACUGAAUUGAUAUCAAGAUAGAAAUGUUGUGUUUAAUCCCCACAAAGCUGCAUUCAGUUAUAAUGUGGCAAUUGAUUACAGUUCAGAGCAAAUUGUUGCUAAAUUUGGACUAAUGAACAUUGUGUGUCCACAUUGGGAUUGAAAUUAAAAAAUGAAGCCUCUGGAUUGUGUUGCGCCAGCGGCCAAGUCAAAUUGACGUCAUUGGUACCGCCACCAGAGCCACUACAUUCAUUGGUUCAUUUUUUGACUCAUAUCCAGCAGUACAAUAAUUGCUUUCAAAUGACAUCAUUUGGGGCAACAAAAGUUAUACGAGACAAUUUUUUGCCUACUUUUGGCAAGUAAGUAUAAUGGCAAACGUUUUUUUUUAGUUUUAAAACCAUGUAGCUGGUGCAAAAUAUGUCGAGUCAGUGAUGUGUUUAUUUUGUAAACAAUAAAUCAAAUACAUAAUAAUAGUCUAUAAUCCGAAGACUUAAUCAGCAACAUUUAUAACAUGUUGUAUUUUAUAGUGGCAUGAGCAAGAUGUUCUUGGUAAAGCCUACUACCUAAAGCUGCCGUGGAAGGCUGUUUAAUGUCGAGGUUAAAAGUAGUUUUAAUUUGAAAUGAUGUAAAGUAUUGUGGCAGUAUUUUGCGAGCCACAUGGUGGUACAAUUUGCUAUACAAUUGCCUGUAUACAUAUUUAUAUUCUUGCAGAUUCAGGGAUUCAAAUAUAUCAUCAAACAGGUUCCUUAUUGCCAGUGCCUGUUGAAGACUAUACAUUUUUGCAAAUAUAUUUUAUGGACAAUUCAGCAAGAGAAGUCGAUCAGCGUUGCGCACACAACAACUCAGUAAAGAGAUCCAUUGUGAUGAACAACUUCAAACAUUUUUCCUUCAACACAAUGAAUUAGUUGCAUUAGACCGAUGCAUUAGACAUUCACAAAUGCAUUAGACCGCAUGCCAUCAGAUAAUCACAAAAUUGUCAUCAGAGCCGAUAAGGCGCCUGCAGGACAGUGAAAUGAUUGAAUCCUAUGAAAUAAACACUAUUAUGAAAAUA